rnacentral:rRNA from 1 species
GACGAACGCUGGCGGCGUGCCUAAUACAUGCAAGUAGAACGCUGAAGGAGGAGCUUGCUUCUCUGGAUGAGUUGCGAACGGGUGAGUAACGCGUAGGUAACCUGCCUGGUAGCGGGGGAUAACUAUUGGAAACGAUAGCUAAUACCGCAUAAUAGUAGAUGUUGCAUGACAUUUGCUUAAAAGGUGCAAUUGCAUCACUACCAGAUGGACCUGCGUUGUAUUAGCUAGUUGGUGAGGUAACGGCUCACCAAGGCAACGAUACAUAGCCGACCUGAGAGGGUGAUCGGCCGGCCUGGGACUGAGACGCGGCCCAGACUCCUACGGAAGGCAGCAGUAGGGAAUCGUCGGCAAUGGACGGAAGUCUGACCGAGCAACGCCGCGUGAGUGAAGAAGGUUUUCGGAUCGUAAAGCUCUGUUGUAAGAGAAGAACGAGUGUGAGAGUGGAAAGUUCACACUGUGACGGUAUCUUACCAGAAAGGGACGGCUAACUACGUG